UCUCAUAUAAAUCACCACCUUAUUCUUUCAGAAUUUUCAGUUCAUAAAACACACUGCGGGACUGUUCUGACAGGCCAUGAUAUACAAACUCUUCCUUACAGUACAAGAUACUAAAUAAUGCAUCUAAGCAAUAACACAGAUUUUUUUCUAAUCAGCACUGAUUCAGGUAAAAGUCACCUGUGCAUAUUAAACCUACUAUGUGGAAGUUUGAUGAAAAAUAGAAUACCUGUAUAGUUCCAAAUUAAUUAUGAAGGAAUGUUAACUAUAGUGGAAAAGUCCAGUGGACACCAAUUGAACCAAGAGAUCAAAGUAAUUCAAAGUGAGACAAAGUUCAGGCUCUUAGAAAGUAGAUGUUGAAGUGUUUUGGGUUACAGGAAGAUAAUGUCGGCAAAUCAUUCAAAUAGUACAUAAAAUGAUAAUGCUAUGUAUAAACACAUAAAGGGAGGCAAGAGCAAGAAGAGGAAGUGGGGGGAGAACACAACGAUGCAGAAUAAAAAGUCAAUCUAGGUGAAGCGUAAAUCAGGUUGCUCUGCGUGAUUCUUGCGAUUCUGAAUCUAAAAUUAUUUCAAUAAUACAAAGUCAUAAAAACGCUGGUAUAAGGUAUACUUAGGGCGUUUAUGAACUUCCAAGCGGAUUUAGAAAAUAUUAAUGAUUUCUUGCUCAGAUAAACAGGAUUUUUGGGUAGAGUGAGGAAAAAUGGGGUACUGCCUCCUUAUCUUAUAAAUCACACAUCAUUAUUUGAUUCUUCUUUUAGCCAUGGCCAUUAAUUAAGUCAGACUUAUGUUAAAAAUGCCAUUUUCACCUAUUAGAUUGGCUAAAAAUUUAAAGCUUUUUUUUUG
rnacentral:lncRNA from 1 species